UUUCCACACCCUUCUUUCCAGGCCUUGUAGGAAUGCCAGGGUUCACUCUAUGGUAGAGGUGAUGAGUGAUGGGUGUUUACAAGGGCAUGUGUCUGUGUGUGUGUAUCUGCGUCUGUGUGUGUGUGUGUGUGUGUGUGUAUGUGUGUGUGUGUGUGUGUGUGUGUGGCGAAUAGCCAUUUCAGCAGUCUGGCUAUUUUAUCACCUCCCAUGCAGUGCUGAUGGUAAAUCCAUCAGUGUCUCUCAGUAGAGACUACAGCCUGCAGGCUGUUUAUUGUCUUAGAAAAAUCACAUGAGCAAGUAAGCAGCCAGUGGCAUCCGUCCACCAAAUGGACAUCUAGCAUGGAACCAUAUCUUCCUGACAGUUUCCAGAUGAUCUGAUGAGACGUUGGGUAUUUGGUCCAGAUGAGAGCUGUUCAUCGGGCAGACGUCUUUACCAGAUUUCGUCAUCAUAUAACCUUUCAAGAUAUGAGGCAGACUGUGUGAUGUGUGUCUGGCACAUCAGGACUACUCUGUUGGUUUAUAAUGGGGUUGUGGAGACGUAUAGAGAACACACACAGCUUCGCAUGGCGGCCCUCCUGACAGGAACACACGGACGAGCACAGCGGCAUUCUGGGACCAGGUGGUGCCGAGGCCAAUCGUGGAUGAGAUGUUCCGUGUCCCAGUACCAGGCUGAGGUCGUGACCUCUACAGAUGGGACGGCCAGACUCAGUGUGAGCUCUCCUCUCCUCACAUUGCUCUCCUCACCACUCCCUCUCUGGUCAGACCUCACACUCUGACAUGAUAGAGGGAUAGUCCUCAAGCUCAUCUUCCUGACUUUCAACUCUCCUUUCCUUUGUAUGUUCCUCCCCCUCUUUCUAUCACUCUCUUCCUCCCCUUAUUCAUUCUAGCCUGUCUUCUCUUCCAUCUCCCUCCAUCCCCACUUCCUCUCCUCCAUGUCCCUCUUGUGUUCUACUUUUCCUCUUUCUGUCCUCCAUUUCCUCCCCCUUUCCCUAUUUUCUUGUAAUCUCCCCUUCCACUUCCUUCUGCCCUUCCUCUAUCUCCUCGAUCUCUACCACUUUCUAUUCCCCUCCUCUUUCUGCUCCCUCACCUCAUCCUCCUCACCUCCUCUCCUGAUUGUUCAAUUCCAAGCAGGCUUAAUACCACAGCAUCAGACAGUUAGACAGACACACAAGUUGGAAGCAGGCAGCGUCCAUUUAUCAGAGAAGCGAAGCUCUCCGUGAAGAUUCUAUACUUUAGUCUCUAUUCUCAGCAGAGGACAUCGUCAGAUAAAUCAACAGAGAAGAUGGUGAUCUCA
rnacentral:lncRNA from 13 species